GACGAACGCUGGAGGCGUGCUUAACACAUGCAAGUCGAACGAUGAAAUGGAGCUUGCUCCAUGGAUUAGUGGCGAACGGGUGAGUAACACGUGAAUAACCUGCCCUUAAUUUUGGAAUAACCCAGGGAAACCUGGGCUAAUACCGGAUAAGUAAACCUGUGGCAUCACAUGGUUUUGGAAAGUCUUUCGAUUAAGGAUGGAUUCGCGGCCUAUCAGCUUGUUGGUGAGGUAAUGGCUCACCAAGGCGACGACGGGUAGCCGGCCUGAGAGGGUGAACGGCCACACUGGGACUGAGACACGGCCCAGACUCCUACGGGAGGCAGCAGUGGGGAAUAUUGCGCAAUGGACGAAAGUCUGACGCAGCGACGCCUCGUGAGGGACGAAGGUCUUCGGAUUGUAAACCUCUUUCAGCAGGGACGAAGCGAAAGUGACGGUACCUGCAGAAGAAGCACCGGCUAACUAUGUGCCAGCCGCCGCAGUAA
rnacentral:rRNA from 1 species